rnacentral:rRNA from 1 species
UAGGGAAUCUUCCACAAUGGACGCAAGUCUGAUGGAGCAACGCCGCGUGAGUGAAGAAGGUUUUCGGAUCGUAAAGCUCUGUUGUUGGUGAAAAGGAUAGAGGCAGUAACUGGUCUUUAUUUGACGGUAAUCAACCAGAAAGUCACGGCUAACUACGUGCCAGCAGCCGCGGUAAUACGUAGGUGGCAAGCGUUGUCCGGAUUUAUUGGGCGUAAAGCGAGCGCAGGCGGAAUGAUAAGUCUGAUGUGAAAGCCCACGGCUCAACCGUGGAACUGCAUCGGAAACUGUCAUUCUUGAGUGCAGAAGAGGAGAGUGGAAUUCCAUGUGUAGCGGUGGAAUGCGUAGAUAUAUGGAAGAACACCAGUGGCGAAGGCGGCUCUCUGGUCUGCAACUGACGCUGAGGCUCGAAAGCAUGGGUAGCGAACAGG